rnacentral:rRNA from 1 species
UACAGAGGGUGCAAGCGUUGUUCGGAAUUAUUGGGCGUAAAGCGCGUGUAGGCGGCUUUGCAAGUCGGGUGUGAAAGCCCCCGGCUCAACUGGGGAGGGUCACGCGAUACUGAUCGACUCGAAGGCAGGAGAGGGUAGUGGAAUUCCCGGUGUAGUGGUGAAAUGCGUAGAUAUCGGGAGGAACACCAGUGGCGAAGGCGACUACCUGGCCUGUUCUUGACGCUGAGGCGCGAAAGCUAGGGAGCAACGGG